GUGCUUGCUUUGGCAGCACAUAUACUAAAAUUGGGAACGAUACAGAGAAGAUUAGCAUGGCCCCUGAGCAAGGAUGACAGGCAAAUUUGUGAAGCAUUCUAUAUUAAA
ensembl:snRNA U6 U6 spliceosomal RNA